rnacentral:rRNA from 1 species
UACGUAGGGGCCGAGCGUUGUCCGGAGUUACUGGGCGUAAAGCGCGCGCAGGCGGCCAUCUAAGCCCGGCGUGAAAGCCCCCGGCUCAACCGGGGAGGGUCGUCGGGGACUGGGUGGCUCGAGGACGGCAGGGGCUGGUGGAAUCCCCGGUGUAGUGGUGAAAUGCGUAGAGAUCGGGGGGAACCCCCGUGGCGAAGGCGGCCAGCUGGGCCGUUCCUGACGCUGAGGCGCGAAGGCGUGGGGAGCGAACGGG